rnacentral:sRNA from 1 species
CAGCCACAUCCGUCCAUGUGGUUGCGGUGAUUGAACCCAUCAUUCAGCAUGCCGACUGGUUCUUCCCUGAAGAGGUGGAAUUUAAUGUAUCAGAAGCAUUUGUACCUCUCACCACCCCAAAUUCGAAUCACUCAUUCCACACUGGAAACGACUCUGACUCGGGGACCCUGGAGAGGAAGCGGCCUGCUAGCAUGGCGGUGAUGGAAGGAGACUUGGUGAAGAAGGAAAGGUAUGAUUUGACCGUUCAUUUCCAAACCAGCAGUAAAUAUGUUGUUAGACCCGUGGUAUCUGGUAUCGCUCAGUGGACUUGGGAUUUGAGAGUGGUCCCCAUCCACCCAUGACUGAUGGUGUCCAGAUAGUUUCUGGAAUUCCAAGCACUAAUCUCACCAUAAAGUCGGUGUGUAGCUUGUCAGUUAACGUUUCUUCCACGUGUAUUCCAGCUUAACUUGGUGGUGUGCUUGGUAAGCCCUGCAGUGGAACGGCAUCAUACACAUGUUAAAAUUGA